rnacentral:rRNA from 1 species
UUGGAGGGCAAGUCUGGUGCCAGCAGCCGCGGUAAUUCCAGCUCCAAUAGCGUAUAUUAAAGUUGUUGCAGUUAAAAAGCUCGUAGUUGAAUUUCGGAGUUUGUCGGUUGGUCGGGCUUCACUGUCCGCACUGGCCUGAUGGAUUCCUACCUUCUGAAUAACCAGCAUGCUAUUAAGUUAGUGCGUUGGGGAAGCAGAGCUAUUACCUUGAAAAAUUAGAGUGCUUAAAGCAGGCUUAUGCUUGAAUAGAUUAGCAUGGAAUAAUAAAAUAGGACGGCAUGGUUCUAUUUUGUUGGUUUCUAGGAUCACCGUAAUGAUUAAUAGGGAUAGUUGGGGGCAUUAGUAUUCAAUUGUCAGAGGUGAAAUUCUUGGAUUUAUUGAAGACUAAACUUCUGCGAAAGCAUUUGCCAAGGAUGUUUUCAUUAAUCAAGAACGAAAGUUAGGGGAUCGAAGACGAUCAGAUACCGUCGUAGUCUUAACCAUAAACUAUGCCGACUAGGGGAUCGGGAUGAUGUUAAUUUUUAAUGACU